rnacentral:rRNA from 1 species
AGCAGCCGCGGUAAUUCCAGCUCCAAUAGCGUAUAUUAAAGUUGUUGCAGUUAAAAAGCUCGUAGUUGAAUUUCGGGAUUAGUACGUUGGUCGUGCCUUAGGUACGUACUGGUGUUACUGGUUCCUACCUUCUGACGAACCAUCAUGUCAUUAAUUUGGUGUGGCGGGGAAUCAGGACUGUUACUUUGAAAAAAUUAGAGUGUUUAAAGCAGGCUCGCGCUUGAAUACAUUAGCAUGGAAUAAUGAAAUAGGACGUUGACCCUAUUUUGUUGGUUUCUAGGAUUGACGUAAUGAUUAAUAGGGAUAGUUGGGGGCAUUAGUAUUCAAUUGUCAGAGGUGAAAUUCUUGGAUUUAUUGGAGACUAACUACUGCGAAAGCAUUUGCCAAGGAUGUUUUCAUUAAUCAAGAACGAAAGUUAGGGGAUCGAAGACGAUCAGAUACCGUCGUAGU